ACGAACGCUGGCGGCGUGCUUAACACAUGCAAGUCGAACGAGGUCCAUGGAGCCUGCUCCGGAAGAUCUAGUGGCGAACGGGUGCGUAACACGUGAGAAACCUGCCCCAGACUUGGGAAUAACAGUCGGAAACGACUGCUAAUACCGAAUACCUUCGGAGCGUCGCAUGGCGCAUCGAAGAAAGCUUUUGCGGUUUGGGAGGGUCUCGCGGCCUAUCAGCUAGUUGGUGAGGUAACGGCUCACCAAGGCAUCGACGGGUAGUUGGUCUGAGAGGAUGAUCAGCCACACUGGGACUGAGACACGGCCCAGACUCCUACGGGAGGCAGCAGUGGGGAAUAUUGCACAAUGGGCGAAAGCCUGAUGCAGCAACGCCGCGUGCGGGAAGAAGGCCCUAGGGUUGUAAACCGCUUUCAGCAGGGAAGAAAAUGACGGUACCUGCAGAAGAAGGUGCGGCCAACUACGU
rnacentral:rRNA from 1 species